CAUUACUUAUAAAUUGCAACACAAAAAACGAAUCUCAGGGUCGUCGUCUGUACAACGUUCCCAUUAAGAAAACAAACCCAUCGUCUUUCACGCAGUUAUUGCAUUAACCGGACGGGAAUGCGAGGAAUGCUCACGUUAGCGGACGUGGACCCACUGAAAGCAGACUUCAUAAGCACAGACAGUGAUGAAGCAGCCGCAACUCUGCGCUCACUUCCAUGCGACGCAUCGGGCGUGAGACGACAUCCCUCCGCAGAGACAGCGAGGAUGCCUGCGGAGGAACAAGUGCGCCGAUAAAAAAAACGGGAGCCGAGGGAGGAGUCGAGUGCAGCCGGGAGGGGCCGAGUAGAGCCGAGUGGAGCCGAGUGAGUCCUUCCUCUGGUAACACGUUCGUCCCGGGUGACUGUAGCCUCGACACGGUACGUUCAUUUAUAUUUAGCGUUGAUUGACAGGUUGUUGUAUGAAAUUGUCUUGUUCUGUUUAGGCAUUUAACACAAAAUACACAUGUGCAGAAAACUGUCGUGAGUAAAUGUUAAGGGUUUAACAUACUUACAUACAUGACACGUACAUUCAUGCUAAAAACACUAGGUUUAGGUUUUAGGUUUACUUUUGGUCAGUACUUGAGGUUCUUCUACUUGUAUGUACAAUUUACAAUAAGAUAACUUUAGCUUUAGAAAACAAUGAAUAUUAAAGCUCUUAAAGACUUACUUUAACACACAUACACACACGUUUAAAUCAGGUUUAGUUAGAGUAGCUAAUACAUAUGCACUCUAAUACACAGUAUAACUUCUGUAAUGCUUAAUAAUUAUUAACUGAAAAUAAUAUCACGGAGGCACCUUUAGCAAAAACAGAUAAAUAUCACCGGGGUUGAAUUAGACUGCAACAGAUUUAGGUGAAACCUGACAGCGGAGUCUCCAGUAGGUGGCGCCAUAGCACCACAGACCGCUCAGCUUCAGGCCUGUUGAACCCAGGUCUGAGCCACUGUGUCAACAUACCUUGGCAUGUUCCACUCAAUGGGAUGAAACCACAUGACCGCACGUCUCAGAGUUCACUGUAAGGCCGUGGACUGAGACAUGGAAAUAAUACACAGAACCAGAGCCUCUUCAUCAAUGCGCAUUGCUGCAUUAUUUACAGCACUAUUUUAUUUGAUCUAGAUAUGACAGGCAGACAUCUUAAGCAAAGACGCCGAACACUUCUCCCCCCGGGCAUCGCGUAGCAAAAUGCCAAGUGCUGUUGGUUGAUCAUGAGUCCAAAAAAGCGAAUUAAUGAUUUUUCUGGAUUAGAAAAAAAAUAAACAUAAGAGACUAACAUGUAAAAACAUUUUCUAUGACCAGAAAUACCUCAAGAAUGACAACAGAUCAGCUAUGUACAAAACAUCAAUAAUAUAUUUAUAUAUUUUAUCCUCUAUACCCACUAAAAUAUACCAAAGAAGCAGCUAUUGGUCAAUCUGAGGAACUUGUUUGCCAACGUGAAUACAGUUUAUAUAUCCUUCAGCUGUAAAUGUGAAAACUCAAAAAAGAGAACUGGUAAAUAACUUAAAAAAAUAUAUAAUCCGGAAAAAGGUCCUGUGUUAAUCCUGUGAGCCUUUUUGGAAUACUGCCGUGUGUGAGGAGGUAAGCCACUUCAACCAGCUUCUCCAAUGAAUAUGAGUUUGUUCGAGGAUGGACAGCCUUCGACCGUCCCAGCACAAAGUUCCCGAAGCCUUUAAUUAUCAGUUCGUCAUCUAUUUCCUUACAAAGAUUCAGAUACAGUCCCAUGACAACUGAUGUAGGCCACAGACAAAAUAGAAGGGCACUUUUUUCAAAACGUUGCUACCCGGGGAUGAACACUGUAGUUGAAUUAGCAGUGAGAGUCCAUCUGGACUUUAGGGAGAGAUGGGGGGAGUUAGCAGCCUUCUUGUGUGUCAAGAGUUAGUUUCACAGUUGAAUCCAUUAUCCACCCAGCCCAGCACAAACUUGGCAAUAUACAGUAUGUACAGUAUCUAAACUACAAUCAUUAACAGAGGGAUGUGGGAGAGUCAUCCUUAAAUACAAAAAGUGUCUUCUGCCAUCUGUGCGUGGACUUACUGUAGUGUGUUUGUGGCAUCUGAGGAGAAAAAUAAGGUCCUGAGAUAUGCAUUGAGGGGCAUCUGAAGAGUGUGAUAAAAGUGUGAUCUGUAUAAAAUGACAACAAAAAUAUAUUUAAACCUAAAGUAUCACUGUUUCUGAGCGGGGUACGUAUAGUUUGUUAGGAGGGGCUGGACCGUGGUAGGGCCAGUAUCCGUCCGUUGGUCUUUCCCCCGUUCAUGUGUGUGAACGGCAUGUGGUGCUCCUCAUAACUGCCCCUCAGGCCCAUGGAGGCGGCCUCGUCUCUGUCCGAGCACUGCUCCCUCUGGGAGUACGACGACGGGUCCAGCGGGAUGCUCUCCAUGUUUUCCAUGUCCAGGUCGAAGUCGUCGCUCUCGGGCGGCUUGUUCUCCUCACUGUAGAAGAAGGAGACCUCCUGGAAGGAAGGGUGCAGGUCCUCGCGCAGCAUCUCGAUGAUCUCCUGGAAGGUGGGACGCAUCUUGGGGUUGUACUGCCAACACAUCUGCAUCAGGUGGUGUCUGAAAGAAGAACAUUACAUCAUUUAAUACAGCGCUUGCCUAGCCACAGAUUUGUCCUCCUAUAUGUUGUAUAGAUGUGCUGUCUGUUCUUACAGUCUGUUAGCGCAGUUGUCUGGCCGGUCCAGGUAGCCUCCGUCCAUAACGAACUUCAGGACCUGCUCGUUGGACAGGCCCUGGUACGGCUGCUCAGCCAGCGUGCUGAUCUCCCACAGAACCACACCAAAGGACCUGGCAAACAGAUCCUGAGCUACCAUGCAGUUCCUAGCCGCCAGAUCUCUGUGGACAUACUUCUUGGCGUUCAGGUAAGCCAUGCCAUCUGCAAUCUCAGCAGCCAUUUGGAUCAUCUCCUUCACGGUGGGCGGUGGACGCCCUGGG